CAACAGGGAUUGCCCUAGUAACGGCGAGUGAAGCGGCAACAGCUCAAAUUUGAAAUCUGGCUCUCUUUGGGGGUCCGAGUUGUAAUUUGCAGAGGAUGCUUUGGCAUUGGCGGCGUUCUAAGUUCCUUGGAACAGGACAUCACAGAGGGUGAGAAUCCCGUACGUGGUCGCCUGCCUUUGCCGUGUAAAGCUCCUUCGACGAGUCGAGUUGUUUGGGAAUGCAGCUCUAAAUGGGAGGUAAAUUUCUUCUAAAGCUAAAUACCGGCCAGAGACCGAUAGCGCACAAGUAGAGUGAUCGAAAGAUGAAAAGUACUUUGGAAAGAGAGUCAAAAAGCACGUGAAAUUGUUGAAAGGGAAGCGCUUGCAGCCAGACUUGCCCGCAGUUGCUCACCUAGGCUUUGGCCUGGGGCACUCUUCUGUGGGCAGGCCAGCAUCAGUUUGGGCGGUUGGAUAAAGGCCUCUGUCACGUAUCUCCCUUCGGGGUGACCUUAUAGGGGAGGCGUAAUGCAACCAGCCCGGACUGAGGUCCGCGCAUCUGCUAGGAUGCUGGCGUAAUGGCUGUAAGCGGCCCGUCUUGAAACACGGACCAAGGAGUCUAACAUCUAUGCGAGUGUUUGGGUGUCAAGCCCGGGCGCGCAAUGAAAGUGAACGGAGGUGGGAACCCUUUGGGUGCACCAUCGACCGAUCCUGAUGUCUUCGGAUGGAUUUGAGUAAGAGCAUAGCUGUUGGGACCCGAAAGAUGGUGAACUAUGCUUGAAUAGGGUGAAGCCAGAGGAAACUCUGGUGGAGGCUCGCAGCGGUUCUGACGUGCAAAUCGAUCGUCAAAUUUGGGCAUAGGGGCGAAAGACUAAUCGA
rnacentral:rRNA from 1 species